rnacentral:rRNA from 1 species
ACAGAGGGGGCAAGCGUUAUUCGGAAUUAUUGGGCGUAAAGGGCGCGUAGGCGGCAAGGCAAGUGGAAGGUGAAAUCCCUCGGCUCAACUGAGGAACUGCCUUCCAAACUGCCCUGCUUGAGUCCGGGAGAGGUGAGUGGAAUUCCCAGUGUAGCGGUGAAAUGCGUAGAUAUUGGGAGGAACACCAGUGGCGAAGGCGGCUCACUGGACCGGAACUGACGCUGAUGCGCGAAAGCGUGGGGAGCAAACGGGA